GGAUUUUUUGUUUGAAAUAGACUGCAGAUAGUGCUGAUUUUUGGUGAAAUUAUUGAAAAAAGAGGAAUUACAGUUUAAUAGUAAAGAAAUAUGGAAGGGCUGAGCCAGCAGUUACGUAAUGAGCAGAAUAACUUUAUGAAGCUAGCCAUGAAGACUGUUAGAGCAGAGAAAACUUGGUUAUUUCUAAAGGAAUGUGGAAUUAAUAAAGUUUUACCGACCUCAAUUUAUAAGAUUAGAUUGCCAGUAGGAUCAAAAAGACUGCUAAAGAGAACCAAAGAAUUGUGCUUGAAAGUGGCAACAUCAGAUGCUAAAAGAAUCUUUUAUAAGUGAAAAAAGCAGCUAGAGGAAAAUAGGAGUAAAUGGGAACAGAAGAGCAUUGAAAAUUUCAUGAGCAUAGUAGAGGCUAGGAUACGAAAGCUUAGGGCGAAGCUUAGACGAUGAACAUUUUGAAUGUCUUUUCUCAGAUAUAUGUUGGAAGACAAUAUUGGAACUUUCUCUUGCAACAUUGUAAUAAUCAUAAAUUGUCACCAUGUUAUUAGCUAUUAAGCCUAACCAAUUUUUGCUUUAAUAGUGUUACCUAUUUCUUAUAAUUGUUAUUAUGUAUUGAUGUUAUUCUUAUGUUAAAAUAAAUGUUUUGUUGGACCUCAGCACCACUAAUCCACAUGCCAUAUUUUUACUUCAGUUCAGUCAAUAUAGUCUGAAAAUAUUUCAGUUGGAGAAACACACAAAACUUCUAGAAGCAGACUGAAGUUGGCAAAUUUGAACAUCCCAUGAUCCUCAGAAAAAUAACAUGUUACUUAUUCAUAAAC
rnacentral:lncRNA from 1 species